CCCGGCCCCCUUACGGGCACCAUAGCGCUAUUCACGAUGUCCGUGACAGCGUCCGAUCCUACGUCCGCCGCAUGCUCCACUCUCGCGCCGAGCUGCCAAAUUGUCCGCAAUUCCAGUGUUGCUGAUUUUCUGUUCGUUUAAGUUAAAAAAUUUAAUAUCUACAGCAUUCCGUUGGAGGUGAAUGCAGUACUGAUAGGUUUUAAUGGCGAUGGAGGGUGUAGGUUUAGUGUAGAUUCACAUAAAUUACAAGAUUUUCUGAGGACCAGCUUCUGAACUCACAGACCUGCCGUGGAAAGUCUUCAAUACUACCAUUGCACCUUUACAUUUUCAGCUAAGAAUUCAGUUUUGUGGGCUGCAUUUGAGUUUUGCUUGAAGGGACCCAUAGAAAGGAGAGGUAUUACAAUGGGAGAAUUGGAGAAUUUCCUGAGUAUUAAUAGUUUUUUUUUUUACUCAUUAUAUGAUAGGAAUGACACAAGUUGUGUUUUUAUUUGUGCUGUUUUGUCAAUAGGCUGGGCAGCCAGAACUGAUUGCACAUGAGAAGGCAUUGAAACAGAAUACGGUUCCUGCUGGGAAUGCAUGAGAGGGAAGUGCCAGUAUUUCGCAAACUAUAUUUGUACUCUGCCAAAGAUAAUCAUCGACCGUUCCUAAUGCAAUCUUUCUUGUAAAUUUUGAUAAGGUGAGAAUGGACCUUGGAAGUAAGGAAAUUGACCUAGACAAUGUAUGGCAAACUUAAGGAUUUGUCUGAUGAAGACUUGAGGAAACAAAUGGGAGACUCAAUAUAAUGGAGGGGGAACAACUCAAGUGUGGCUGGGUUCAGACAGAUUACUAGUUCCAGUCGAGUUGGACGUGUGUAAACUGCAGUUGGUGAAUUAUCUUUAUGGUUGUGAAUCUCAGGACAAUUGCUACAGAGUAUCUAAAAACCCCCCUUGGUGAACCUGUCAAAGGCAAGAACAAGACAACAACCAAACUAUGGUUGGAGAAGUUCUACCAAAAGACAACGAGCUUGCCAGAACCUUUCCUGCAUGAAUUAGGUCAACGGUUGGAGAAGUACCUAGAUGUAAGUCACCCAUGUCUAGAAUAGCGCCUUGGAAUUCAGACUUGCAGAAUUGUUCUGUUGAUUUUAUUUUUGGUUUAAAUAACAGCGCCUUGAGGAACAGCUUGUAGAUCUGUCUUCUUUCUUUAUUGUAUGAUCACCGGUUACAAGACACACAUUUGAACAUUUCGGAAGUUCUUCAAAGCGCUGUCUUCACCCAUCAGCUAUCCAUAAUGCAGGUAUCUUGAAUAUUUGACUAGAGUGAGAGGGAGAGAUGCUGUGGCAUGGAGUUCAAAUGUCCUGUACAUUCGUCGCAGACUUAUAUAUACGGAGGGAUUCUGCCUGCUGGGUUCAUUGUGUAUUUCGUCGUCGUUUUCUUUUCCAAUCCUGUCCGAUGACGAUCCCAACCAAGAGACUGUUCUCAUUUUCUGAAGGCAUUGAUGUUUUGUUGCGGGUGGGAAAAAGCCCUAUACCGGCGAGUAUAAUGCUAUAAAGAAAUUUUGAGUGCUCCUUUUUGUAUUUUAAAUUAGAAUAAUUUGAUAGAUUACAGCUUUUCAUGCUCGUUCAUUAUUUUCACCAUCAAACCCUGUGGAGGCCAUUUGAUUCCGCUGAUUAUCGAUUAGUGGAAUACUUUCCAUUGUGGGUUAA